CUAAACAGGACAGCAGUGAAUUGCAUACCAUCUUACAGACACACGCGCUUGUAGACAACAAACCUAAUAUUUAGGAUUUGGGUGGUAGAGGAAACUUAAGACCAUGGAGGAACCCCAUCCUCAGAAUCAAACCCAGGAAAUUAACGCCAUGAGACAAUAAAACAGCUCGGUGCGUGGCAGGCAGCUGAAAGAAGACAGCUUGAUACCUCGUUGUAUGGACUUAUUAUUCAUCACAGCAAUAAAUCGAGGCUGUUGUUGACAGCAAACAGAGAAGAGACAGAAAGCGAGAGUAUGCGCUAGCUGCUGGUUUUCACUCGGCCUGAACGAGCUGGGAAAAAGUCACUAACAGCUCUACUACUGACAUCUGUAUGACAAAUGAAGCAGUUUUCCACCUGCGAGAGGAGCUGUUACACGUACCUGCUGAAAAGGGAGAUUUAGUAAAAAACAGGAGGCUUUUCCUGGCAGUGCCCCCCUAAGUUCCAGGGAAACACAAAUCUGUGUUCUUGUAAAGUCAAUUUGCUGCAUUUCCAUGUACAGAUAUUGCAUCAUGGAUUGUAUUAUUUUAUUUUUUUUAUGAUCGACAAUAGAAUUUUUUCUCACAGGGUUAUACAAUAAAAUCUACAAGUUCACUGUGUUUCAUUGUAUAAUGCAUGGUAAAUUGAACAAAUAAUAUCCUUAUAUAAGCCUAAAUACAUUUUUCAUACAUUGAUCCUGUCAUUUCAUAUUUACGGAUCCUAUUAUCUGUUAAAUAACUCCAAAAACCCUCUGAGCACAGAUUUAUCUUAUGAACAUAAUACAUCUAUUUAAAUAUUAGAAGUUUCAUUUAAAUGUGUACCUUAAUAUUGUGUCUAGUUAUUGGAACCUGUUUAGUGCUAAAGUUUCCCAAGUGAUAUUUCAUAGGCUUUUUAAAGUUUUGGCUUAUACCACAUUCAUGUGUUUGUUCAAAUAUUAUAAGAACCCAAUAAUGUAUUA